rnacentral:rRNA from 1 species
UACGUAGGGGGCAAGCGUUGUCCGGAAUCAUUGGGCGUAAAGCGCGUGUAGGCGGCCCGGUAAGUCCGCUGUGAAAGUCGGGGGCUCAACCCUCGAAUGCCGGUGGAUACUGUCGGGCUAGAGUCCGGAAGAGGAGAGUGGAAUUCCUGGUGUAGCGGUGAAAUGCGCAGAUAUCAGGAAGAACACGCGUGGCGAAGGCGGCUCUGUGGGACGGUACUGACGCUGAGACGCGAAAGCGUGGGGAGCGAACAGG